UGUGUGCGUUCGUGUACGUGUGUGUAUGUACGUGUGUGUGCGUGUGUGUACUUCAGGCUCAACAAUACAGAUAUUGAAUAAAAGAUAAUAUUUAAUGACAAAGAGAUACACUAAUUCUUUUUAAUUCUUAUUUUCAUGUAUUUGUGUGGAAGUGAGCAACAGUUUCAAAACACAAAUGAAGAAACUUUGUGGUGAUAAUACAAUAAAACCUCACAUUCUAGAUGAUCAUGUGAUUUUAUAAUUAUAAAAUAUAAUUAAUUAAUAUGAAGUCAUUUUAAUGUUUAGUAAAAGCCUUUUUGCUCAGGCUAUAACUGAACCAUCAUUGUAUCCCUAAUGCAUCUGUUCAUAUGUCAUGCAUCAACAUAUCAUCUUUGUAAGGUGACAGACAGCAGAGAGACAGGAGGAGGUAGAGGAGGAGAGGCUGGAGGAGAUGAUGAAGGAAACUGAUGCACCUGGAGAGAGCAGCAGGGAGAGUUGUUGAUGGACAGUCUGAUGCACAGUUGCCCUGCAGCCCUGCACUAAAGAGUGACGAUGAGAAGUCUUCAAAGUUGCCUCCUUGUCUUUCAUUAGUUGCUUUAACCUAUAACAUCUGCAUGAUGUGAAAUUAUGACUGCUAAUGUAAAAACACGUCAACUUUCAGGAGUGCUGUCCCCACCAAUCUCAAAAUCUAACCCUUGCUAAUAAUCAAUGUUUGAUUAGUGUUUGUCAAACAUUGUCCACAAACUAAAAUGAUUUUGUUUUAAUUAGCAAAGAAACAUUCACAUUUAACAAGCUGAACUGGUUUGUAUUAUUAAACACAACAGUCACAGACCUGGCAACCCUGUUCACUCAUGAAGCAACAGGAAGACACAAAAAACACAAGUGACCAAAGAGACGCUUUCUACAUGGUUCUCUCACACACACACACACACACACACAGACACACACACACUAAAUUAACCGACUUUUCUUCAUUAAAACAAAGGAAACGUUUAGCUUUGAUGACGUUGUUGUUGUUGUUGUUGUCUGACGUCACAUAAGUGAACAGUAUAGUUCAGUGACCUUUAAACAUCAAACAUGUUCAAACACGUCAAAGUAAACCGGUGGAACUAGAUAAUGAAGAUUAUUAACUGCGACAUGUGCAAUAAACCGCACCCACGCGUCAAUAAAACACGCUCAAGCGUCAUUAAAAGACACGAAAACGGCUUUAAAUGAAAGUUAAAGAGUGAAAAGUGAAGGUUGAGCCGAACAACGAACUGUGCUCGCUUCGUCUACUUCCGCCGAGCCAUUUUCUCACUUACUCGCUCUUCGUCGGGAAGAAGAGUUUCUGCGUCCUUCUUCACGUCUUUCUGGCCCAAAGCCGAGUUAAAAGACACUUUGACCAUCGUGGAAGUUCCACUCACGAACUCCUACCGCGCGAAAAUGUCACGAAAAA